CAACUUAGAAAUCCAGUUUUCGAAUUUGAUCGGCGAUUUGAAAUUCCGAACGUAAAAAUCAGAGACACGAAAAUGGUGGGAGCGAAUCAGGCGUGUAUCUUCUGUCAGAUCGUGCGCAAUCCUUCCUCCACUCGUCUCCUUCACACUGAUGAGAAGGUCAUCGCGUUUCAAGACAUCAAGCCAGCCGCCCAGAGGCAUUACCUGGUGAUACCAAAAGAACACAUUCCAACAGUGAGAGACCUUCAGAGAAGAGAUGAAGAUUACUCACUGGUAAGUCAAAUGCUAAGUGUGGGACAAGAACUGCUGCUGAAAGACGCACCUCAAACCAUACAUAAAUUUGGUUUUCACCAGCCGCCUUUUAACAGUGUUGAUCAUCUCCAUCUUCAUUGCUUUGCAUUACCUUUUGUCCCCAGAUGGAAAGCCAUCAAGUACACGUCUUUGGGACCUUUUGGUGGUUUUAUCGAAGCAGAGACACUUCUGGAGAAGUUAAGGCCUCACGGUUCCCUUCAUUCAAAGGUGUAACUGAACCGGCCUACCUGACUUCAUUCCGGGAGGUAAUGGUUGUAUUCACGAGAUUAUCAUCCUCGGACUCCAACUUAACUGGUGCAGAUGUGUUCUUGCAACAACAUAGUUAUCCACAGAGCAGAAAGCUAAAAAGCUAAAGCUGGCUCCUGUGAGUUGUGAGGAGAACAGCUCUGGCGAAGAAGACAGCAAUGAACCCUUUUCUUCUUGGAGUGACGGCCAAAUUUAUUGGCUUUUUUCCCAGAAUAUUACAAUUACGUCACUCUCAAGUUUCAACCCUGAAGACUCAGGUAUGCCUUUGCGUCAUUGGUGCCUUCUUCUCGUUUUUUGUUUUUUCGAGUACAGCUAAUUUAAUUUUUCUUACAUAAUUUUUCGAAAUCGCCUCUCUGUUAACAGCUGUAUCCAAAAAAUUGAAUUUAAAAAUGUUUUUUGUUUAAAGAAAACUAGAAGAGUCCAUACUCUCUCUUUAAUUAAGAGACGACGAGUCCAUAUCCAAAACAUUGACACGGUUUCGUUUCGUUUUUCAAAAUAUCCAAUACUUUUAGUAAAAGAUAAUGCAAGUAUUUAUUUGUUUUUAAUUUUCCAAAUUUUCAAUGCGUUCUUUUGCGAAACUUAUCCUGUGUAAACUACUUUUCGUAUUGUAAAAAAAGAAAGAAAAAGAAAGAAGUAUCGGCUUGUGCCGGAGGAGGUUGGUGAUUUUUAUAGGUCCCUUGGUAGUAGUAGCCUUGUGUCGUCUAGCGAUUCUCUACCUAAUUUAGCCUCAAUAAAAAAAAACAUAGCCAUUAGCAUUUACAUUAAUGUUUUUAAUUGUUAUCUAUUCAGUAUUAUGAUGAAUCUUCUUUUGUGAUGAUUGAUUAGUUUAGAAUAGUUAGUUUAGAAUAUGUUCAUAAAAGUGCUUCC